AUGAUUUGCAAAUCAGGCCUCCAGGAGCAUCCUGGUGUCUGCCAGGGUCUGCAGACCGGGUCCCACUCAUCCGGAAAUGAGUAUCUAGGGCCAGAGGGUCUGCUGUUCCGUUGCUUAGGAAACCACGUUUCCCCUCCCUGCUCAUCCCCGGGGGCCUCAGUGUCCUCAGCCAGGGCCCACCCCGUGGUCCGAUGCAGCGACUGUUCAUCUUCUGCGUGCUCAGAGCCCGUCUGCAGAAACACAAGACAGACCCAGUCAGAUCACCCUCAGCCCUCUCCGGGGGCUUCCCACGUCCUCACCGUGGCCUGCAGGGGCCUUCAUGGCCUGACGUCUGGCUCCUGGCCUCCCCUCCCUGCCCCUCACCCCCUUGCUGGCUCCAUCCCAGCCCCUGCUGUCUGCCAGGCAGGCACCCCAGGGCCUUGGCACUGGCUGUGUCAGGGACUUCCCUCACACCCUCUCACCAGAGAGCUCUUGGCCCUCCCCUUCUCUCCCCUCUUCCCCUCCUCUUCCCUUCUCUUUCUUCCCCCCCUUUUUAAAGAAAAUGUUUCUUUCUUUUUAUUUUUGGCUCUGCUGGGUCUUCACUGCUGCUCAGGCCUCUUUUCUAGCUGCGACGAGCAGCGGCUACUCUCUGAUUGGGGCGUGCAGGCUUCCCACUGUGGCGGCUCCUCUCGUUGCUGAUUUCUGCCAG
rnacentral:lncRNA from 1 species